UGCAAGUCGAACGCUUCUUUUUCCACCGGAGCUUGCUCCACCGGAAAAAGAGGAGUGGCGAACGGGUGAGUAACACGUGGGUAACCUGCCCAUCAGAAGGGGAUAACACUUGGAAACAGGUGCUAAUACCGUAUAACAAUCGAAACCGCAUGGUUUUGAUUUGAAAGGCGCUUUCGGGUGUCGCUGAUGGAUGGACCCGCGGUGCAUUAGCUAGUUGGUGAGGUAACGGCUCACCAAGGCCACGAUGCAUAGCCGACCUGAGAGGGUGAUCGGCCACAUUGGGACUGAGACACGGCCCAAACUCCUACGGGAGGCAGCAGUAGGGAAUCUUCGGCAAUGGACGAAAGUCUGACCGAGCAACGCCGCGUGAGUGAAGAAGGUUUUCGGAUCGUAAAACUCUGUUGUUAGAGAAGAACAAGGAUGAGAGUAACUGUUCAUCCCUUGACGGUAUCUAACCAGAAAGCCACGGCUAACUACGUGCCAGCAGCCGCGGUAAUACGUAGGUGGCAAGCGUUGUCCGGAUUUAUUGGGCGUAAAGCGAGCGCAGGCGGUUUCUUAAGUCUGAUGUGAAAGCCCCCGGCUCAACCGGGGAGGGUCAUUGGAAACUGGGAGACUUGAGUGCAGAAGAGGAGAGUGGAAUUCCAUGUGUAGCGGUGAAAUGCGUAGAUAUAUGGAGGAACACCAGUGGCGAAGGCGGCUCUCUGGUCUGUAACUGACGCUGAGGCUCGAAAGCGUGGGGAGCAAACAGGAUUAGAUACCCUGGUAGUCCACGCCGUAAACGAUGAGUGCUAAGUGUUGGAGGGUUUCCGCCCUUCAGUGCUGCAGCUAACGCAUUAAGCACUCCGCCUGGGGAGUACGACCGCAAGGU
rnacentral:rRNA from 1 species